rnacentral:tRNA from 1 species
GCCGCCGUAGCUCAGCGUGGUAGAGCAGCGGACCCUGAAAAGGCAGAAGCCUUCCAGGGGCUGAAGCUGUUAACCCGUUGGUCGACGGUUCGAGUCCGUCCGGCGGCG